rnacentral:rRNA from 1 species
UGUGCCAGCAGUCGCGGUAAUACGAAGGGGGCUAGCGUUGCUCGGAAUGACUGGGCGUAAAGGGCGCGUAGGCGGCCUACACAGUCAGAUGUGAAAUUCCUGGGCUCAACCUGGGGACUGCAUUUGAUACGUGUAAGCUUGAGUGGAGAAGAGGGUCGUGGAAUUUCCAGUGUAGAGGUGAAAUUCGUAGAUAUUGGAAAGAACACCGGUGGCGAAGGCGGCAACCUGGUCUUUAACUGACGCUGAGGCGCGAAAGCGUGGGGAGCAAACAGGAUUAGAUACCCUGGUAGUCCACGCUGUAAACGUUGGGCACUAGGUGUGGGGACCUAUCGACGGUUUCUGUGCCGCAGCUAACGCAUUAAGUGCCCCGCCUGGGGAGUACGGCCGCAAGGCUAAAACUCAAAGAAAUUGACGGGA